CUAUCUUGACGUUAUUCAAUGAAUAAGCCCCGGCUAACUAUGUGCCAGCAGCCGCGGUAAUACAUAGGGGGCGAGCGUUAUCCGGAAUUAUUGGGCGUAAAGGGUGCGUAGGCGGUUUAAUAAGUCUCUAGUUUAAUUUCAACGCUUAACGUUGUCCUGCUAGAGAAACUGUUUAACUAGAGUGAGAUAGAGGUAAGCGGAAUUCCAUGUGUAGCGGUAAAAUGUGUAAAUAUAUGGAGGAACACCAGAGGCGUAGGCGGCUUACUGGGUCUUUACUGACGCUGAUGCACGAAAGCGUGGGGAGCAAACAGGAUUAGAUACCCUGGUAGUCCACGCCGUAAACUAUGAGUACUAAGUGUCGGGGUUAAACUCGGUACUGAAGUUAACACAUUAAGUACUCCGCCUGAGUAGUACGUACGCAAGUAUGAAACUUAAAGGAAUUGACGGGAUCUCCGCACAAGCGGUGGAUCAUGUUGUUUAAUUCGAAGAUACACGAAAAACCUUACCAGGUCCAGACAUACUAUCCAAAGCUAUAGAAAUAUAGUGGAGGUUAUCAGGGAUACAGGUGGUGCAUGGUCGUCGUCAGCUCGCGUUAUGUGAUGUUAGGUUAAGUUCUAAAACGAGCGCAACCCCUGUCGUUAAUAGACAGCACCGUUAUGGUGGGGACUUAAGCGAGACUGCCAAUGAAA
rnacentral:rRNA from 1 species